rnacentral:lncRNA from 9 species
GGCAAUCAUAAAGUCUUCAUUGGGUCAUUUUUUUUCCUACUUACCGCAUUUUCUUCUCAUUACUCUUAGACUCUUUGAGAGCAUCGUCUACAUCUGAUUCAAUCUCUGUGACCUCAUCGAUGGCCAUAAUACCAGGCAUAUUGAACUGUUCAGAGAACACUCGAUGAAGGAUUGAAUGGGAACACAAAUGCCAAAGCGACUGGCAGGAAGAAACGUCUCAUUGAAGGCCCCCUCCAGUCCCCAGCCCUGGACCGCCGGCCCCGCGCUCCCUGAGUCCCAGGGCCGCCUUAACCCGCCACAUCAGCUUGGGG